CAAGUCAACUUGCUUAUGAUAGCAAUAUUGUAAAGAGGGUGGCGCACGGGUGAGUAACACGUAAGUAAUCUGCCUUUAGGUCUGGAAUAAUUCCGCGAAAGCGGGACUAAUCCCGGAUGAUGCAGCGGCUUGACAUCAAGAAUAGUUGUUAAACCUACCGAGCAAUCGGUUCGGGCCUAAAGAUGAGCUUGCGUCCCAUUAGAUAGUUGGCGGGGUAACAGCCCACCAAGUCAACGAUGGGUAGCUGGUCUGAGAGGAUGAUCAGCCACACUGGAACUGAGAUACGGUCCAGACUCCUACGGGAGGCAGCAGUAAGGAAUAUUGCUCAAUGGGAGAAAUCCUGAAGCAGCAACGCCGCGUGAAGGAUGAAGACCUUUUGGUUGUAAACUUCUGUAGAGAAGGAGAAAACCCUCACUCUGUGAGGAUUGAUAGUACUUCUAAAGUAAGCCCCGGCUAACUACGUGCCAGCAGCCGCGGU
rnacentral:rRNA from 1 species